rnacentral:rRNA from 1 species
UACGUAGGGGGCUAGCGUUGUCCGGAAUUACUGGGCGUAAAGCGCGCGUAGGCGGCUGGAUAAGUCGAUUGUGAAAGCCCCGGGCUCAACCUGGGAAUUGCAGUCGAGACUGUUCGGCUAGAGUGUGGGAGAGGGUGGUGGAAUUCCCGGUGUAGCGGUGAAAUGCGUAGAUAUCGGGAGGAACAUCAAAGGCGACGGCGACCACCUGGAUCAACACUGACGCUGAGGUGCGAAAGCGUGGGUAGCAAACAGG